rnacentral:rRNA from 1 species
AUGAACGCUGGCGGCGUGCUUAACACAUGCAAGUCGAACGAAGCACUUUAUUUGAUUUCCUUCGGGACUGAUUAUUUUUUGACUGAGUGGCGGACGGGUGAGUAACGCGUGGGUAACCUGCCUUGUACAGGGGGAUAACAGUUGGAAACGGCUGCUAAUACCGCAUAAGCGCACGGCAUCGCAUGAUGCAGUGUGAAAAACUCCGGUGGUAUAAGAUGGACCCGCGUUGGAUUAGCUAGUUGGUGAGGUAACGGCCCACCAAGGCGACGAUCCAUAGCCGACCUGAGAGGGUGACCGGCCACAUUGGGACUGAGACACGGCCCAAACUCCUACGGGAGGCAGCAGUGGGGAAUAUUGCACAAUGGGCGAAAGCCUGAUGCAGCGACGCCGCGUGAGCGAAGAAGUAUUUCGGUAUGUAAAGCUCUAUCAGCAGGGAAGAUAAUGACGGUACCUGACUAAGAAGCACCGGCUAAAUACGUG